rnacentral:rRNA from 1 species
AUACGCAGGGGGCGAGCGUUAUCCGGAUUUAUUGGGCGUAAAGGGUGCGUAGGCGGUAAAUUAAGUCUAAGGUUAAAGUGCAGGGCUCAACCCUGUGAUGCCUUAGAAACUGGUUUACUUGAGUUUGGUAGAGGUAAGUGGAACUCCAUGUGUAGCGGUAAAAUGCGUAAAUAUAUGGAAGAACACCAGUGGCGAAGGCGGCUUACUGGGCCACAACUGACGCUGAGGCACGAAAGCGUGGGGAGCAAACAGGAUUAGAUACCCUGGUAGUCCACGCUGUAAACGAUGAAUACUAAGUGUUGGAAAAAUCCAGUGCUGAAGUUAACGCAUUAAGUAUUCCGCCUGAGUAGUACGUACGCAAGUAUGAAACUCAAAGGAAUUGACGGGG